UUGAACGCUGGCGGCAUGCCUUACACAUGCAAGUCGAACGGCAGCACGGGAGCAAUCCUGGUGGCGAGUGGCGAACGGGUGAGUAAUAUAUCGGAACGUGCCCAAUCGUGGGGGAUAACGCAGCGAAAGCUGUGCUAAUACCGCAUACGAUCUACGGAUGAAAGCGGGGGACUCAGCAAUGGGCCUCGCGCGAAUGGAGCGGCCGAUAUCAGAUUAGCUAGUUGGUGGGGUAAAGGCUCACCAAGGCGACGAUCUGUAGCUGGUCUGAGAGGACGACCAGCCACACUGGAACUGAGACACGGUCCAGACUCCUACGGGAGGCAGCAGUGGGGAAUUUUGGACAAUGGGCGCAAGCCUGAUCCAGCAAUGCCGCGUGCAGGAUGAAGGCCUUCGGGUUGUAAACUGCUUUUAAGAGGGAAGAUAAUGACGGUACCUCUUGAAUAAGCACCGGCUAACUCCGU
rnacentral:rRNA from 1 species